GAACUUCUUUUUUUUUUUUUACUCUUUUAAAAUACAUAUCAUAAAUUGCCCUUAGACAGCAUUCAUAUUCCUGUUUGAGUUGAUAAAAAACCUUUGUAGUUCACUGCCAUCUUCAUUAUGCAUGAAAUGUGACUAUAUGGAAUAUACCGUGACUCUAGGAGCAAUAAUGUAUUACCUUGAGGCUUACAUAGAUCAAAAUCUGAUGGCUAGAUUGAGAGAUAGGAUAAAAUGGAGGUUGAACAAAAUUAUUUUUAGUUGCGGUUUCGUGACUUGACAGAAUAAAGUUUUAUGACUAUUUGGUCUAUUUUAUAGUGAGUAUCAUGCAUCAGUCGAGAAAGCUGAUGACCAACUUACUACACUACUGGCUCUAAUAAUAUGUAUUCAUCUCUUUUCAUUUUCCAUGAUAAUAUUUUGUCAUUUUAAAAUUCCAUCUUUAUUAUAAUCCACCUAAGCAUAUUUUUUAUCACCACAAUACUUCCCACAAUGUCUUGUUUGUAACUUAUCUCUGAUAUAUAUAGUUCAUUAAAUGAUUCAUAUUUCAGUCCUGGUAAUAACCCAGGGAAUGUAAAUCUUGAGUGAAAUAAUUUACAGAGAAAAUUAUAAAACUCAUUAUGCACGAAGAAUGAGAACUAUGUUUAUAUAGAUUUACUAUUUAUUCCUAACUGAGGGUGGCUUUCUACCAAUGUUAAUUAUCCCUUUUGGUUUUUAAUUGAAUUCCUAAAUUUUAGCUUGGCACAAGGCUACUCGGCAAAUUACUACAUUCCCCAGCUUCUUUUGAAGCUCUCUGUGAGUGGAACUAAUGUGAACUACUUCUGUGUAGUUCUCUUAAGAGGGGAUUUUGCCCUUUCUUCCCCGAGUGAGAUAUAAGAAUGAUUGCAAGAGCUCAAGCAACUUCUGGAAUCCAGCAUGUUCCAAAUUUGAAGAUAAACGUUGAAAUAGGAAGAAGAAGGGGCAACUCCUUGGACACUGAGGCUACAGAUGGAAGUGAGGCCCCUUUGGUAAAGAACCUUCUGCACCCUAAAAAGGACUUACAAAGUUCUCUGCUCCAUCCCGAUCCAAUAGAGGAAAAGCACAUCAUACUUGUGCACCAUCCAAGGCCCAGCAUGUGAGUUUUUGCCUUUUGGAGAUGAAUAAGAAAGUUGGACGUGUUGGACUGUGCUUAACGAAUGCAUGGGUAUGAAGCUUCUCACAGCGCUGGAGCUGGAGGGAAAAGCAUAGUGGUGGAUGAUGUGGACCAGCCCUCCUUGGCGUCCACAUUCCAGCAAGAAACUACAAGGGGUCUAAGAAAUUUGAAGUUAGCCUUUCAGGUAAUUAUGAACUUACAUUUGUCAAAGUAGAAGACUAGUCUGUGGUGUAUUUAACAUUUUGUUAGCUUAAUUGAUAAGUUUUAAAUAUUCAGACAUAUGUUAUAUAAAUCUUUAUUUGUACUCUGGCUUUAAGACCCACAAUCGUUAAGGGCGGAUCGCAUAGAUAACUUCGGGGGACAAAAGACAGUACAAGAUGUGAUUCUGGUCAAUCAGUUAGUUACAAAAAAUGUGUUAAUAACACAUGAUACUCUAUGCUAUAAAGUUCUGGUUCCUUGCUCUGGUGUUUGUUCAUAAUAAAUGGCUACAAUUAUGUCUACGCUUGUAUCCAUGCUCUUAGCUAAUUUCUUCCUACACAGAUUCUGUCCUUCUUCAUGUGAAUUGCUUUGGUCAACGGAGCAAUAUCAAUGUAAUAUAAGCAGAGACUUAAGAAAUACUUUUUCAUUGGGGCUUGUCUGCUCUUGCUAUUCUGAGAUUCCUAUCAUGUAAAAAAGCUUGAGAUAGUCUCUUGGAUGGUAAGAAAUACAUGGCCAAGUCAUCCUAUUACCCGAGCUGCCAUCAAGCCUACCAUCAGAUGUAUGUGUGGGGCCAUCUAAUCUCAGCUGAACCACUAGCUGACCAUAGAGAGAUCAGCUGAAUCAGACCAGGUCAGAACAGUCCAACUGGCAUAGAAAAACUGAGAAACGAUAAGUAUUUCUUAAGUCACUAAGUGUUGGAGUGGUUUGUUAUGUAGCAAUACCUAUUGAAACAUUUACCCAGGAUUUUCAUUACUAAGUCAUUUCUUAUUUUCUUUAUGAUAUAUUCUAAACUCAACACGACACAGAAGAUGCUUUAAUAUAUAUCCAUGGUUGCCCCUUUAGCUUUAUCUCUUUGAUGUCCCCCCAUCUCUAACCCUUACAUCCCAUCUUAAUGCCAUGUAUAAUUGCUUGCAGGCUUUCAAACAUCCAAAGCUCUUUCAAAUCAUUGACUUCGGUUUUGCUUCUCUUUCUACCUUGAUUUCCCUUCUAUUGUAUGUUCUGAUUCCCUUCAAGGGAAUCAUUUUUUUCAAGGCCCAUUUCCUAUCUUUUAAUUUUUUCUGGUCCACUGACAUAGAGUAGUACACUCUCAUUUUCUCCCAUUGCAUUAUAAUAUUUAAUUGUACCCAUUAUUCUACACUUACUGCUCUCUUUCUAUUACAUUUUAAGUGAGUCAGCCCUUUGACAGUAGGAGCCAUUAUCUAUUUGUCUCUGCGUCCUCAACAUCUAAUAGAGAUGAUGAUAUAAACUUAAUGCAGGAUGGGUGAAUGACAAAUGAGAAAAGAAGAGAGAAGGGAAAGAUAAAAAAAAAAAAAAAAAAAAGUAGACAACAGAUACAGACAUCUUGCUUCACUUCCAGGACUGAGAUGGAAGGAAAACAAUAAUUCAAAUCAAGGGGAAUGGGUUGUUUUUAUUGUUAUGGGCUGUUAUUUUUUAAUUUGACUUCAGAAGCUAUUCUACAGCCUGUUUUUAUGAGGAAUUAAAAGUCAAAAUAAAGGCAGGGGAUUAGUUUUUGGGUUAAGUGUCUUGAGAAUGGCAUGUUUGGAUGUAUUUGGCUAAUUAGCAUUAUAUGAAAGAAGUUUUUCUGAUAUAGGAUAUAAGAAUGUCUGUGUGUGUGUGUGUGUGUGUAUAAGCAAGUAAUAAUAUAGGAAAUUGAGUGAGUUCUCCAUCACACUGUCUCUACUUACUACAUGAAGUUUUAGGCAAUUGGGAAACAUCUACUCUAAGCAAAGGAGAAAGAGGAAUACGGGGGAGUGGAGGAGUUCAAUAAAGGUCUGGAACAACCAAUGUGUUGACCUUGAGAGUGGAUCAAUGAUAUUUAAAGGAUACGUAGGCAACUUUGUUAUUUUCCAUUACCUUUCUUUAUUGACAAACUGAUUUAUUGUGUUCUUUUUCUGGCGUAUUUUUCACAAUUGGUCUUAG
rnacentral:lncRNA from 1 species